CGAACGGUAACAGGAAGCAGCUUGCUGCUUCGCUGACGAGUGGCGGACGGGUGAGUAAUGUCUGGGAAACUGCCUGAUGGAGGGGGAUAACUACUGGAAACGGUAGCUAAUACCGCAUAACGUCGCAAGACCAAAGAGGGGGACCUUCGGGCCUCUUGCCAUCGGAUGUGCCCAGAUGGGAUUAGCUAGUAUGUGGGGUAACGGCUCACCUAGGCGACGAUCCCUAGCUGGUCUGAGAGGAUGACCAGCCACACUGGAACUGAGACACGGUCCAGACUCCUACGGGAGGCAGCAGUGGGGAAUAUUGCACAAUGGGCGCAAGCCUGAUGCAGCCAUGCCGCGUGUAUGAAGAAGGCCUUCGGGUUGUAAAGUACUUUCAGCGGGGAGGAAGGCGACAGGGUUUAUAACCCUCUCGAUUGUACGUUACCCGCAGAAGAAGCACCGGCUAACUCCGUGCCAGCAGCCGCGGUAAUACGGAGGGCGCAAGCGUUAAUCGGAAUUACUGGGCGUAAAGCGCACGCAGGCGGUCUGUCAAGUCGGAUGUGAAAUCCCCGGGCUCAACCUGGGAACUGCAUUCGAAACUGGCAGGCUAGAGUCUUGUAGAGGGGGGUAGAUAUUCCAGGUGUAGCGGUGAAAUGCGUAGAGAUCUGGAGGAAUACC
rnacentral:rRNA from 1 species